AUUGAACGCUGGCGGCAGGCUUAACACAUGCAAGUCGAACGAGUGGCGGACGGGUGAGUAAUGAUUGGGAAUCUAGCUUAUGGAGGGGGAUAACUACGGGAAACUGUAGCUAAUACCGCGUACCAUAGGAUGAGCCCAAGUGGGAUUAGGUAGUUGGUGAGGUAAAGGCGCACAAAGCCGACGAUCGCUAGCUGGUCUGAGAGGAUGACCAGCCACAUUGGUACUGAGACACGGCCCAGACUCCUACGGGAGGCAGCAGUGGGGAAUAUUGCACAAUGGGCGCAAGCCUGAUGCAGCCAUGCCGCGUGUAUGAAGAAGGCCUUCGGGUUGUAAAGUACUUUCAGUCGGGAGGCGUUACCGACAGAAGAAGCACCGGCUAACUCCGUGCCAGUAGCCGCGGUAAUAC
rnacentral:rRNA from 1 species